ensembl:lncRNA
AAGCAAAGCCUGAAACUCAGUUCCCAUUAUUCCUGUUUUGAAGUUCCCCUGAUGGGCUGAGCCAGGGCAUUCAGCUGCCUUUUCAGUCAUUUUGUCUACAGUGCUUGACUACAAAGGUUUUGGGGACAAUUCAUGCUUUUAACGUAGAAGUGGUAUGAGUUUUCUAUCAGCAAGCUUUGUACCCUGAAGGUCUCCUGAGUGUACUGAUGCCAUCCCCUCCAGGAAAGGUAGCACAAUGCCUAACUUAGCUGUUGGGCUGCAACACAACCUUCACUUUUGUCAUGGACUGCUAAUUGAAAACCCACUCAAGAUAAAGGAACUGAAUCUUUGCGUUGCAAGAGUUUGGGUCUGGUUUAUGGAAUGCUAUGGGAGUCCCAUGCCAGGGACAAUUCCAGCGACUGGAUGGUACAAACAAUUUAACUAUGGAGAUAAGGUACACUGUUGCACAAUGUUUAAUUCACCAGCACUGGAAUAAACGGGGGAUAGCCAAGACCCAGCCCAUGGAUGCAGAGCAAAGUGGCAUCUGGAUAAUGGAGUUUAAAAAAUACCAAGGCACAACAUUCUGUUUGGCUCUGCCUAUCAGCAGGAAUAUAUUUUCUUCAGGAAAACAGACACCAAUCUGCUGUGUCUUUCACUGGCACUGGGGGCUAGCACACAUUACCUUCAGUCCUUGGGCUACCUACAGUCUGUCCGUCUUCCAUUUAUUCUUUUGUAUGUGUGAACUACCUCCAAUCAUUUCUGAUCUAAGUAUGAAUUACUGACAUAAGUUAACUAGGAGAGUAACAUACAGCAAAUAAUAAACAGACGAUGAGCUUUUGGGUACAAAUUUUAUGAAACAUAAAUAUUCAUGCUGGUGUUUAUGCACACAGGAGCUGAGAGCAUUUCCUCUGCUAUCUAGAAGAUGUAUAAAAACUUUGUAUGUUUCUGAUUGCAUUUUCUUGUUGCUUUUACUUUUCUCUUUGAGAUCAGCUCUGUGUUCUCUAUGCCGAACAUCAAACCUCAGUACAUUUUGAUAGCUAAAGUAUUUGUUUCAGCUAAUGAAAAUCUCUCAUGUGGGCUGCUAUUUCCUGUUAAAAGUGGAGUGCCUUUUAUAACUAGAAGAUGGUAUUAGAUUUUUAAUUAUAUGUUGCUGUGUAACACUACUUAAAUAGAACUUGAGAAAUAAUUCUUGUGUAGCAAAUAAGUGAAAUUUAAAGCACGGGUUCCAUUUAAUUAGACAUUUUCUGCUUUAACAGUUGAAUUCCCUACCCAAAU